rnacentral:rRNA from 1 species
AAACUAACAAGGAUUCCCCUAGUAGCGGCGAGCGAAGCGGGAAGAGCUCAAAUUUAUAAUCUGGCACUUUCAGUGUCCGAGUUGUAAUCUCUAGAAGUGUUUUCCGCGUUGGACCGCACACAAGUCUGUUGGAAUACAGCGGCACAGUGGUGACACCCCCGUACACGGUGCGGACGCCCAGCGCUUUGUGAUACACUUUCGAAGAGUCGAGUUGUUUGGGAAUGCAGCUCAAAUUGGGUGGUAAAUUCCAUCUAAAGCUAAAUAUUGGCGAGAGACCGAUAGCGAACAAGUACCGUGAGGGAAAGAUGAAAAGCACUUUGGAAAGAGAGUUAACAGUACGUGAAAUUGUUGGAAGGGAAACGCUUGAAGUCAGACUUGCUUGCCGGAGCUUGCUUCGGUUUGCAGGCCAGCAUCAGUUUUCCGGGGUGGAUAAUGGCGGUUAGAAGGUAGCAGCUUCAGCUGUGUUAUAGCUUUCCGCUGGAUACAUCCUGGGGGACUGAGGAACGCAGCGU